AGGAAAUCUGCAGGAAGCAAAGCACUGAGCUGCAAAGGCAAUGCAGAAGAGGCAGUACAGUAAUAGAAAACCUCUUAUCUCUUCAAAAUCAUGAAGCCAUCGCCAUCCUGCCUUCUGCUCAACAGGUUGGCUCAGGCACUCAUCUUUGGCUCUGCAUGUGAAAGUACAAGUCAGGAAGCUAAUAUGAGCUGGAGAAUCAAAAAAGGACUGCCCUUG